CGUUAGGCUCAUCAGAUAGGUGGACCUGCGGAGGGAUCAUU
rnacentral:rRNA from 1 species